rnacentral:rRNA from 1 species
AAUCCAUAGGUUAAUGAGGCGAACCGGGGGAACUGAAACAUCUAAGUACCCCGAGGAAAAGAAAUCAACCGAGAUUCCCCCAGUAGCGGCGAGCGAACGGGGAGGAGCCCAGAGCCUGAAUCAGCAUGUGUGUUAGUGGAAGCGUCUGGAAAGGCGCGCGAUACAGGGUGACAGCCCCGUACACAAAAGCGCAUGUGCUGUGAGCUCGAUGAGUAGGGCGGGACACGUGGUAUCCUGUCUGAAUAUGGGGGGACCAUCCUCCAAGGCUAAAUACUCCUGACUGACCGAUAGUGAACCAGUACCGUGAGGGAAAGGCGAAAAGAACCCCGGCGAGGGGAGUGAAAAAGAACCUGAAACCGUGUACGUACAAGCAGUGGGAGCACCCUUUGGGUGUGACUGCGUACCUUUUGUAUAAUGGGUCAGCGACUUAUAUUCUGUAGCAAGGUUAACCGAAUAGGGGAGCCGGAGGGAAACCGAGUCUUAACCGGGCGUUAAGUUGCAGGGUAUAGACCCGAAACCCGGUGAUCUAGCCAUGGGCAGGUUGAAGGUUGGGUAACACUAACUGGAGGACCGAACCGACUAAUGUUGAAAAAUUAGCGGAUGACCUGUGGCUGGGGGUGAAAGGCCAAUCAAACCGGGAGAUAGCUGGUUCUCCCCGAAAGCUAUUUAGGUAGCGCCUCGUGAAUUCAUCUCCGGGGGUAGAGCACUGUUUCGGCUAGGGGGCCAUCCCGGCUUACCAACCCGAUGCAAACUGCGAAUACCGGAGAAUGUUAUCACGGGAGACACACGGCGGGUGCUAACGUCCGUCGUGAAGAGGGAAACAACCCAGACCGCCAGCUAAGGUCCCAAAGUCAUGGUUAAGUGGGAAACGAUGUGGGAAGGCCCAGACAGCCAGGAUGUUGGCUUAGAAGCAGCCAUCAUUUAAAGAAAGCGUAAUAGCUCACUGGUCGAGUCGGCCUGCGCGGAAGAUGUAACGGGGCUAAACCAUGCACCGAAGCUGCGGCAGCGACACUGUGUGUUGUUGGGUAGGGGAGCGUUCUGUAAGCCUGUGAAGGUGUGUCGUGAGGCAUGCUGGAGGUAUCAGAAGUGCGAAUGCUGACAUAAGUAACGAUAAAGCGGGUGAAAAGCCCGCUCGCCGGAAGACCAAGGGUUCCUGUCCAACGUUAAUCGGGGCAGGGUGAGUCGACCCCUAAGGCGAGGCCGAAAGGCGUAGUCGAUGGGAAACGGGUUAAUAUUCCCGUACUUGGUGUUACUGCGAAGGGGGGACGGAGAAGGCUAUGUUGGCCGGGCGACGGUUGUCCCGGUUUAAGCGUGUAGGUGUGUGUUCCAGGUAAAUCCGGUUCACUUUAACACUGAGGCGUGACGACGAGGCACUACGGUGCUGAAGCAACAAAUGCCCUGCUUCCAGGAAAAGCCUCUAAGCAUCAGGUAACAUCAAAUCGUACCCCAAACCGACACAGGUGGUCAGGUAGAGAAUACCAAGGCGCUUGAGAGAACUCGGGUGAAGGAACUAGGCAAAAUGGUGCCGUAACUUCGGGAGAAGGCACGCUGACACGUAGGUGAAGUGAUUUACUCAUGGAGCUGAAGUCAGUCGAAGAUACCAGCUGGCUGCAACUGUUUAUUAAAAACACAGCACUGUGCAAACACGAAAGUGGACGUAUACGGUGUGACGCCUGCCCGGUGCCGGAAGGUUAAUUGAUGGGGUCAGCGCAAGCGAAGCUCCUGAUCGAAGCCCCGGUAAACGGCGGCCGUAACUAUAACGGUCCUAAGGUAGCGAAAUUCCUUGUCGGGUAAGUUCCGACCUGCACGAAUGGCGUAAUGAUGGCCAGGCUGUCUCCACCCGAGACUCAGUGAAAUUGAACUCGCUGUGAAGAUGCAGUGUACCCGCGGCAAGACGGAAAGACCCCGUGAACCUUUACUAUAGCUUGACACUGAACAUUGAGCCUUGAUGUGUAGGAUAGGUGGGAGGCUUUGAAGUGUGGACGCCAGUCUGCAUGGAGCCGACCUUGAAAUACCACCCUUUAAUGUUUGAUGUUCUAACGUGGACCCGUUACCCGGGUUGCGGACAGUGUCUGGUGGGUAGUUUGACUGGGGCGGUCUCCUCCUAAAGAGUAACGGAGGAGCACGAAGGUUGGCUAAUCCUGGUCGGACAUCAGGAGGUUAGUGCAAUGGCAUAAGCCAGCUUGACUGCGAGCGUGACGGCGCGAGCAGGUGCGAAAGCAGGUCAUAGUGAUCCGGUGGUUCUGAAUGGAAGGGCCAUCGCUCAACGGAUAAAAGGUACUCCGGGGAUAACAGGCUGAUACCGCCCAAGAGUUCAUAUCGACGGCGGUGUUUGGCACCUCGAUGUCGGCUCAUCACAUCCUGGGGCUGAAGUAGGUCCCAAGGGUAUGGCUGUUCGCCAUUUAAAGUGGUACGCGAGCUGGGUUUAGAACGUCGUGAGACAGUUCGGUCCCUAUCUGCCGUGGGCGCUGGAGAACUGAGGGGGGCUGCUCCUAGUACGAGAGGACCGGAGUGGACGCAUCACUGGUGUUCGGGUUGUCAUGCCAAUGGCACUGCCCGGUAGCUAAAUGCGGAAGAGAUAAGUGCUGAAAGCAUCUAAGCACGAAACUUGCCCCGAGAUGAGUUCUCCCUGAGACUUAGAGUCUCCUGAAGGAACGUUGAAG